rnacentral:rRNA from 1 species
GGUGAACGCUGGCGGUAGGCCUAACACAUGCAAGUCGAACGGCAGCACAGUAAGAGCUUGCUCUUACGGGUGGCGAGUGGCGGACGGGUGAGGAAUACAUCGGAAUCUACUUUUUCGUGGGGGAUAACGUAGGGAAACUUACGCUAAUACCGCAUACGACCUACGGGUGAAAGCAGGGGAUCUUCGGACCUUGCGCGAUUCAAUGAGCCGAUGUCGGAUUAGCUAGUUGGCGGGGUAAAGGCCCACCAAGGCGACGAUCCGUAGCUGGUCUGAGAGGAUGAUCAGCCACACUGGAACUGAGACACGGUCCAGACUCCUACGGGAGGCAGCAGUGGGGAAUAUUGGACAAUGGGCGCAAGCCUGAUCCAGCCAUACCGCGUGGGUGAAGAAGGCCUUCGGGUUGUAAAGCCCUUUUGUUGGGAAAGAAAAGCAGCAGGUUAAUACCCCGCUGUUCUGACGGUACCCAAAGAAUAAGCACCGGCUAACUUCGUG